rnacentral:rRNA from 1 species
CCUUUUGAACUAUAAACAUAAAAGGUCCUGCCUGCCCAGUGACUUGUUUUUAACGGCCGCGGUAUUAUGACCGUGCAAAGGUAGCGUAAUCACUUGUCUUUUAAAUAAAGACCAGUAUGAACGGCAAGACGAAAGCCUAACUGUCUCCCUAGAUUAGUCAAUGAAAUUGAUUUUCCCGUGCAGAAACGGGAAUAUUAUUAUAAGACGAGAAGACCCUGUGGAGCUUCAAACUUAAGCUAACAAACCAUAAUGCCUUAGCACCCAGUUUUAGGUUGGGGUGACCACGAGGUAAAACAUAACCCUCGAGAUAAACAAAGAAAGACACUUCAAAUAAUAUUCACAACACAUUGACCCAAUAUUUGCUCAACGAACCAAGUUACCCCAGGGAUAACAGCGCAAUCUACUCAAAGAGCCCAUAUCGACGAGCAGGUUUACGACCUCGAUGUUGGAUCAGGACUCCCCAAUAACGCAACAGUUAUUAAAGGUUCGUUUGUUCAACGAUUAAAGUCCU